UACACAUGUUUAUCUUACCAUUAGACAUUAAACUCUUUGAGAGCAAGAAACAACUUCAUGAUUUCGCAUUGUAAAGGAUUUAUUUUUUCCAAUUGCUUUGUGUUUCUUUUACAUUUACAGGAGACUAAGUAUGGAAUGUAUGCAAAGCAAAAUUAUAAAAUGAGCUUGAGCCUGCACAGACUGAAAUGGAAGCAAUAUCUGUAUUCAAAAGAGCACUGAUACCUGGAAGUUUUGAUGAUUUAUACUAUUAUGCCCUGGUCACUAAGGCAAGGCAGAGAGUCAACAAAACACCCUGGCCUUAUGCUGAAGCCUCACGCUGAAGAUGGGAUUGCUGCUCACCAGACCAUGCAUCCACUUCUGAACUGUUAUCUGAGAUGGAAUUAAACCACUAUCUUGCCAUCUUCUCUAAGAUGGGGCCAUCCAGUUGCAGGAAAACAAGCUCAGGGCUCCCACUGAUUCUACAUUAUGAUUCCUGUAAGAAGGCAAAUUUCUGGACCCUACCCACAGAGCUUCUGAUCAGGCUAAAGUUUCUGUGGCUGCAAGUUAUGGCGUAGAGCAUUUGAGAACUGGAUCAUCCUUUCAUGUUGUCGGUGUUAAAGACGAAGAAGCCACAGGUAGAAAGGAGCCUAACUUCCUGAAGUUUCCCUUGGAGGAGAGUGACCUAUGGAUCAGAAAGACCCAUUUAGAUAUUAUGUAGUAAGAAGAAAACUUCUGUUAAGUCUCUGAGAUUUUAAAGAUACUCUAUUACAGCAGCUAAUAUUAACUGUAUCAUCGUAUACAGUUAACAAAUAGAAUGUUGUUUUUAAAAGUGUAUGCCAUUCUUUUAAAUGUCUACUUUUAUGUAUAUUGUAUAAUGUAUGUAAUACAUUAUUAGUUCAGGAAUGUAUGCUCAUUUAGAAAAAUAAAUAACACAUACAUUCUCUAUUUGUAUGCAUACAGAGACAUAUACAAACUUUUUGUUGUUUUACUGUUUUAUGUUAUUAUGAAAAUAUUUCUAACAUUUGGCAGAUAAAGCUUUGCAUGCCAGUCUCGUGCUUUUUAGGUGGCUUUCACACACUUUUUUCUAUGAAUUGCUAGGAACAAAUUCCCAUUUUUUAUAUGAAAAAAUUUUAAAUCGUCAAGUCCUUGUUCUUAUACAGUUCUAGAAAUCCAUUCUCUUCACUUUUCAAUGACCUGGGAAUAACUCAAUUGCCACUUGUUGGCAUCUCUCAGAGCAGAAAACAAACAACAUGGAGACAAAUAUCACAAAUCUGAAGUUUUUCACAUCAGAUUGCAAACUUUUUCUUAUGGUAAAAACCCAACUACUGACUCUAAAAAGAAUUAUUGAGAAUGAAAUUUCAAACAGUCAGUUAAUGGCUUUAGUAAAUUAUGACACUAGUAUAGACAUUUUAAAUAAGCUUACAAAAACAGGUAGAUAUAGUCAGUAUGUAUAUAGUCCAAUGUAUUUAUAAAUUUUUUUUAAUGUUACUUGAGGACUUUCCAAGCUUUUACUCUUUUUAAUGUCAUUUUAGGAGAAAAUGAGUGAUUUCUGCUAACUGAGAAACUCUGUCUGAAUAUUUAUUUUUGCUCUUAAAGAGACAAACUGCAUUUGAUGGUAAAAAAAAACAAAAAUAAAGUUGUAGAAUAAAUAUUUUCCUGCCACUUUCUCAACUUGAGAGUACAUUAAGGGCUAUUGCCAAAUGCUUUAAAGAUAUCUCAAAUGUCUGAUCAUCUCCCUCAAUACUUCCAGCCCAAAUGAACCUCACGGACAACCAGCCGGAUUUUCCACUUACUAAAAUCCUUACCAAGCCUCCACUAGCAACGAAUUUUCUAUUUCUAUCCACUCACACGCAUCUCAAUGUAUCCUUUUCUUUUGGAUGAAAAUGAUAAGCAAAACCCAACAUGCAAGCGAACUCACAUCUCUCUAGCACAAAUAGUUCUGGUGGGUAGCCACAAGCUAUCACAUCUCCUUGUCUUUUAUACCUGUAUGGGUUUUGCAGAGGGAUUAUCAAUCAGUUUUAAUUCAGAAUACAGAAAAACACAUUAGUCAGUUUCAGAAAUCAGAAAAAGUUUUUCAGAAAACAGAUAUCAACCACAUUUGGUAAAACUGUAGAUGACUCGAGAGUACAGGGCUCCCUGAGACCACACUUCAAUAAACGAGUCUAAAUCAUCAAUGAAAAAUCAUCAAAAUCAUCGUUGAAACACAGGAGAUUCAAGUACUUUAUCACCAUGCCCUGUCUAUUCUUAUUUCAUUGGCUGAAGCUAGUAUUUGUUCCUACUAAGUAUAGCGGGUAAAGGCAACAAUCAAAAAUAACACAUUUUGAAACAAAGAAAAUUUCUAGUAAUGUAAACAAACAAACAAACCCAUAUUUUGAUAUGGGAAAUUAUAGCUUAAGUGACACUGACAUUAACAAGUAACAGUGUUUGAUAUUAAUUUCUUUAUUCUUAUUUGAUAUUAGUUUCCUUGAUAUUAAUUUCUUUUAAAUUUCUUGAAAGAAACAUCCAAGCAGGAAAGUAUGGAUAUAAACCUCAUUGCAUCAAAUAAAAAUGAUUUAUUCAUUUUUCUCAUUUUUUUUUGUAGUAACCACUAAAUUUAUUUUUUAUUUAUUUAUUUUUUGGUCUCCCUUUGUCUCUCUCUCUGUAGCAUGAAAGGAAUUCUAGCCUAUAUUUGUGUCCUGUGUAUGUAUGUAUGUGAGUACACUCUACCUUGAGUUUCAUGGUUUUGUCAUAUGACACAUAUUUUUAAAAAUACUUUAUCAAAUCAUGGUAACUAUGAUAUACUGAAAAUGUGCAUUUCAAGCUACUUUUAGAAAUAAUGAAAAGGAGCUUUAGAUUCUUAAUAAGCUCAAAAAUUAAUAGCUGGAAUUAAUACUAAAAUGAAAAAUAUAAAUAAUCCAUUAGCAUUUCUUGGAAUAAAACCAACGAUACUAGUCUCCUAUAAAGAAAAUUAUACUUGAAAGCCACAGGGAGAUAAGUUUAACACAAGCCUACUAAGUUCUAAGAAAAAAAAUCUCUCCAUUAGCAUAUAUAAAAACAGUUUUUUCCAAAAAUUAGAAGCAGAAAAAUCUCAACAAAAUCUCAUCCUUCUAUUGUUCAUUAGUUUCUACUCUAGAAUUAAAAUAAACCAUGAUUAAUAAUGCCACCUUGCUCUUUGCUUAAUAGAAUGUUAAAUACUAAGUGUUCUCCAGGUAUGCUCAGCUCAUUACACAUAUAGCACAUGUUUGUGAGAACAAGGAAAUAAAAGUAUUAUCCCUAUUACUCAGAUAAGAAAAUCAAAGCUUUGAGCAAUUUGCCUGCCAGAAGUUGUAAAGCCUAUCAAAGAAUAAUAAUUCAGGUUUUAAUUUCUCCAACACUUGUGGUUUAUUACCCUAAGAUAAUGAUCAGCACAUAUUUGUCUCAUUUUACAUAUAAUACAAAUUUUUAAAACUAAAAUCAAUUGGUUUUAUGGCAAGACAACUGAUGUGGCUGCAUAAUUUUAUUACAGUAUGCAUGACAUACUCCAUUUUAAAAACAUUCCCUUGUUUUUCAAAGAAACAAUUACAUCAUACACUGACAUUUUCUGAUUUUGAUGUGUAAGUGUACAUUAUUAUUCUUCCAUUAAAUUACAAACUGCUGGUAAAAUGCCAGUGACAUGAAAAAAGGCCACACUGGUAUUUUACUGUAGGGUCAUCUUCAUGGAUAGAAUAGCCAGCCUUCCACUUGAAUGCACUGCCAUAUUGUCAAGCUGCAUUCCUUAAGCAUCACUUCUUAGAGGCCUCAAGCUUCUCGGGAAUGUUUGAUGACUUAAAGGGGAAAUGAACAGGUUGCAAUUAUGCUUGUCAAGGUUCUUCUUGUGAACCUUUAUUUGGACAAUUCACACAAAAAAAGAAAGCAGCUCAUUUUCUAAUUCAGGAUAUUAUUUCUUUUUAAAACUGGUAUUAGCAUUUCUGAAAUAGCAGAAUGGGCCCUGGAUAAUUAGUAUGGAAGCAUUCAAUACUGCAGAGUGAAAUGUCAGUGAGAGGAAGCAGCAUGGGUCAGGGGACAGAAACAAUACAGAAUUUGGAACUUCCCAUUUCUUACUUAGGUGCCAAAUGAUUGAAUCUGAGACUCAGCUUCCCAUUCUGAAAAGUGAAGACAAUAAUAUACACCUUAAAGGGAUGCUGUGAGGCUUAAGUAAGACAGUUUAUUUAAGGAACUUAGCUCUGUAGCCCAAGGAAUGCUUCAACAAAUAAUAUUGAACAUACAACCACAAGGGGAAAGGGUGCCGGACAUGAGGUCAGAAUAAUUGAACUUGAGCCCCAGACCAGCCACUUAUUCGCUGUAUAAAAUUGAGUUCAAUUAAUCUCUUUGGGCUUCAUUUUUGUCAGCUAUAAAUUAGAAAUUAUCCUUAAGUUACUUCAAAUUUCUACAUUCUAUGUGCUAAUAAAAUAAAAUUCUUGACUCCUGGUUCAUGAUGGUAAGUUUUAUAUAGCAUCACGCUACCUGACUUCAAACUAUACUACAAGGCUACAGUAACCAAAACAGCAUGGUACUGGUACCAAAACAGAGAUAUAGAUCAAUGGAACAGAACAGAGCCCUCGGAAAAUAACGCCGCAUAUCUACAACUAUCUGAUCUUUGACAAACCUGAGAGAAACAAGCAAUGGGGAAAGGAUUCCCUAUUUAAUAAAUGGUGCUGGGAAAACUGGCUAGCCAUAUGGAGAAAGCUGAAACUGGAUCCCUUCCUUACACCUUAUACAAAAAUUAAUUCAAGAUGGAUUAAAGACUUAAACGUUAGACCUAAAACCAUAAAAACCCUAUAAGAAAACCUAGGCAUUACCAUUCAGGACAUAGGCAUGGACAAGGACUUCAUGCCUGAAACACCAAAAGCAAUGGCAACAAAAGCCAAAAUUGACAAAUGGGAUCUAAUUAAACUAAAGAGCUUCUGCACAGCAAAAGAAACUACCAUCAGAGUGAACAGGCAACCUACAAAAUGGGAGACAAUUUUCGCAAUCUACUCAUCUGACAAAGGGCUAUUAUCCAGAAUCUACAAAGAACUCAAAUUUACAAGAAAAAAACAAACAACCUCAUCAAAAAGUGGGUGAAGGAUAUCAACAGACACUUCUCAAAACAAGACAUUUAUGCAGCCAAAAGAUACAUGAAAAAAUGCUCAUCAUCACUGGCCAUCAGAGAAAUGCAAAUCAAAACCGCAAUGAGAUACCAUCUCACACCAGUUAGAAUGGCGAUCAUUAAAAAGUCAGGAAACAACAGGUGCUGGAGAGGAUGUGGAGAAAUAGGAACACUUUUACACUGUUGGUGGGACUGUAAACUAGUUCAACCAUUGUGGAAGUCAGUGUGGUGAUUCCUCAGGGAUCUAGAACUAGAAAUACCAUUUGACCCAGCCAUCCCAUUACUGGGUAUAUACCCAAAGGAUUAUAAAUCAUGCUGCUAUAAAGACACAUGCACAAGUAUGUUUACUGUGGCACUAUUCACAAUAGCAAAGACUUGGAACCAACCCAAAUGUCCAACAAUGAUAGACUGGAUUAAGAAAAUGUGGCACAUAAACACCAUGGAAUACUAUGCAGCCAUAAAAAAUGAUGAGUUCAUGUCCUUUGUAGGGACAUGGAUGAAACUGGAAAUCAUCAUUCACAGUAAACUAUCGCAAGAACAAAAAACCAUACACUGCAUAUUCUCACUCAUAUGUGGGAAUUGAACAAUGAGAACACAUGAACACAGGAAGGGG